CCUACGGGACGCAGCAGUGGGGAAUAUUGCACAAUGGGGGAAACCCUGAUGCAGCAACGCCGCGUGAGUGAAGAAGUAUUUCGGUAUGUAAAGCUCUAUCAGCAGGGAAGAAGAUGACGGUACCUGAUUAAGAAGCCCCGGCUAACUACGUGCCAGCAGCCGCGGUAAUACGUAGGGGGCAAGCGUUAUCCGGAUUUACUGGGUGUAAAGGGCGUGUAGGCGGGAGGGCAAGUCAGAUGUGAAAACUCAGGGCUCAACCCUGAGCCUGCAUUUGAAACUGUGUUUCUUGAGUGCUGGAGAGGCAA
rnacentral:rRNA from 1 species